rnacentral:rRNA from 1 species
GACGAACGCUGGCGGCGCGCCUAACACAUGCAAGUCGAGCGAGAACCAGUCCUUCGGGACUGGGGACAGCGGCGAACGGGUGAGUAACACGUGGGUAAUCUACCCCCGGUUUUCGGGAUAGCCCGGGGAAACCCGGAUUAAUACCGAAUGGCCUCUAGAGCUCUCGGGCUCGAGAGAAAAGGUAGCUUCGGCCUCUGACCGAGGAUGAGCCCGCGGCCGAUUAGCUAGUUGGUGGGGUAAUGGCCCACCAAGGCGACGAUCGGUAGGGCUGGUCUGAGAGGACGAUCAGCCACACUGGGACUGAGACACGGCCCAA